GAUGAAGAACGCAGCGAAAUGCGAUAAGUAGUGUGAAUUGCAGAAUUCAGUGAAUCAUCGAAUCUUUGAACGCACAUUGCGCCCCUUGGUAUUCCAUGGGGCAUGCCUGUUCGAGCGUCAUUUGUACCUUCAAGCUCUGCUUGGUGUUGGGUGUUUGUCUCGCCUCUGCGUGUAGACUCGCCUUAAAACAAUUGGCAGCCGGCGUAUUGAUUUCGGAGCGCAGUACAUCUCGCGCUCUGCACUCAUAACGACGACGUCCAAAAGUACAUUUUUACACUCUUGACCUCGGAUCAGGUAGGGAUACUCGCUGAACUUAAGCAUAUCAAUAAGCGGAGGA
rnacentral:misc_RNA from 1 species